UAGCUCAAUUGGCUAGAGCGUGGUGCUGGUAACACCAAGGCCGCAGGUUCGAUUCCUGU
rnacentral:tRNA from 1 species